AGCUAAUACCGCAUAACGUCGCAAGACCAAAGAGGGGGACCUUAGGGCCUCUUGCCAUCGGAUGUGCCCAGAUGGGAUUAGCUAGUAGGUGGGGUAAAGGCUCACCUAGGCGACGAUCCCUAGCUGGUCUGAGAGGAUGACCAGCCACACUGGAACUGAGACACGGUCCAGACUCCUACGGGAGGCAGCAGUGGGGAAUAUUGCACAAUGGGCGCAAGCCUGAUGCAGCCAUGCCGCGUGUAUGAAGAAGGCCUUCGGGUUGUAAAGUACUUUCAGCGGGGAGGAAGGGAGUAAAGUUAAUACCUUUGCUCAUUGACGUUACCCGCAGAAGAAGCACCGGCUAACUCCGUGCCAGCAGCCGCGGUAAUACGGAGGGUGCAAGCGUUAAUCGGAAUUACUGGGCGUAAAGCGCACGCAGGCGGUUUGUUAAGUCAGAUGUGAAAUCCCCGGGCUCAAC
rnacentral:rRNA from 1 species